GUGUUGCUUUAGCAGCACAUAUACAAAAAUUGGAAUGAUACAGAGAUUAGCAUGAUGCAUGACCAAGGAGGACAUGCAAGUUAUGAAAUGUUUUAUAUUUUU
ensembl:snRNA U6 U6 spliceosomal RNA